UGCCGAGAUGACUCCUCUGAUUGAUGCAGUCAGGAGACCCAGAACAGCGGCACCAGAACCUCUGCUGGCUCCCUCUCUUUCUGGACAAGAGGGGAAAGAAGAGCAAGUAGAGAAGAAAGUUGUCAAAGCAAAGCCUGAAGGAGUGAAAUCAAUCCUCAAGAGCUCUGCAAUGGCAGGUGUUGCUGCAGCACCACAACCUAAAGAAGUCUCCUUGCCCGACACUGAAAUGCCAAGCACAAGCACUGGCAAAAGAGCCACUGGGAAAAAAUGCACACAGAAAACAAGCACUGGGAAGAAAAGCUCUGCAGAAACCAGCACAGGGAGAAAAAGCUCAGACCAGCCACAACUGAUAUCCUCACUAACAAGUAUUUACCUCGCCGAUCUCAAGGGCAUUGUGAGUGAGGAGAACCCUAUGAAGAAAUACACUUUACAGCAGCAAAUUGGCCAAGGGUAAGUCCAAUCUCAGCUAC